rnacentral:lncRNA from 1 species
UGUUAGGACAUGCCUCUAAAUUGGUAUGACUCACAUGCCAAGAGGAUAGAUUUCUCUGUGCCUUUUAUAUUUUGUUUUGUUCCUUAAAAGUUUUUUUUCUUUUUCUUCCCCUGGGGAUAGAAAUAUGUUUUUUCCAUUUUUACAGGCAAACCACUUCAAUAGAACAUGGCUGGCGGCCAUAUGGACAUAUAUGAAUCCAACAAUUAAUUCAGCAAAGAAAGCUGCUUGUGGCAAGUUUUGAAUGUGCCAUUCCAGGUAGUGCUUUGAUGAUAAAUGAGGAGAAGAUUGCAAAGAAAAUGACAGCAACAUUUAUAAAAGGAUUCCUCUUAGGACUCCGGAUGCACAGAGAGUGGCCAGAUUAAUACAGACUGGCAAAAGAAGAACUUGGCAAAGUGAUUUGAUCACACACUUCUCACCCUCACAUCUCCUGACAGUUCCCCUAAUCCCUGCCCCACUUCCCCGCCAUGGGCUUCCAUCAGGAAACUCCUUGAUAUCAUCUUCGGUAUGUACCUCAUAAAGUUAAGAAAUGGAAUAUUAAUAACAACUUUUAACAUAAUC